UACGGAGGGUGCGAGCGUUGUCCGGAAUCACUGGGCGUAAAGGGCGCGUAGGCGGCCCUGGCAGUCGGUGGUGAAAGCCCGCGGCUCAACUGCGGGUCGGCCACCGAUACUCCAGGGCUCGAGUUUGGUAGAGGCAGAUGGAAUUCCGGGUGUAGCGGUGGAAUGCGUAGAGAUCCGGAAGAACACCGGUGGCGAAGGCGGUCUGACUGGGCCAAG
rnacentral:rRNA from 1 species